GACGAACGCUGGCGGCGUGCUUAACACAUGCAAGUCGAACGGAAAGGCCCUGCUUUUGUGGGGUGCUCGAGUGGCGAACGGGUGAGUAACACGUGAGUAACCUGCCCUUGACUUUGGGAUAACUUCAGGAAACUGGGGCUAAUACCGGAUAGGAGCUCCUGCUGCAUGGUGGGGGUUGGAAAGUUUCGGCGGUUGGGGAUGGACUCGCGGCUUAUCAGCUUGUUGGUGGGGUAGUGGCUUACCAAGGCCUUGACGGGUAGCCGGCCUGAGAGGGUGACCGGCCACAUUGGGACUGAGGUACGGCCCAGACUCCUACGGGAGGCAGCAGUGGGGAAUAUUGCACAAUGGGCGGAAGCCUGAUGCAGCAACGCCGCGUGCGGGAUGACGGCCUUCGGGUUGUAAACCGCUUUCGCCUGUGACGAAGCGUGAGUGACGGUAAUGGGUAAAGAAGCACCGGCUAACUACGUG
rnacentral:rRNA from 1 species